rnacentral:rRNA from 1 species
GAUGAACGCUGGCGGCGUGCCUAAUACAUGCAAGUCGAGCGAACGGACGAGAAGCUUGCUUUUCUGAUGUUAGCGGCGGACGGGUGAGUAACACGUGGAUAACCUACCUAUAAGACUGGGAUAACUUCGGGAAACCGGAGCUAAUACCGGAUAAUAUUUUGAACCGCAUGGUUCAAAAGUGAAAGGCGGUCUUGCUGUCACUUAUAGAUGGAUCCGCGCUGCAUUAGCUAGUUGGUAAGGUAACGGCUUACCAAGGCAACGAUGCAUAGCCGACCUGAGAGGGUGAUCGGCCACACUGGACCUGAGACACGGUCCAGACUCCUACGGGAGGCAGCAGUAGGGAAUCUUCCGCAAUGGGCGAAAGCCUGACGGAGCAACGCCGCGUGAGUGAUGAAGGUCUUCGGAUCGUAAAACUCUGUUAUUAGGGAAGAACAUAUGUGUAAGUAACUGUGCACAUCUUGACGGUACCUAAUCAGAAAGCCACGGCUAACUACGUG